AUUUUUCCUGCCACCGAAUACAUUAGCAUGGGAUAAUGGAAUAGGACCCUGACCUCCUAUUUUCAGUUGGUUUUGUUUACAGCGAGGUUAUAUCAGGGUAAUGAUUAAUAGGGAUAGUUGGGGGCAUUAAUAUUUAAUUGUCAGAGGUGAAAUUCUUGGAUUUAUGAAAGAUUAACUUCUGCGAAAGCGUUUGCCAAGGAUGUUUUCAUUAAUCAAGAACGAAAGUUAGGGGAUCGAAGACGAUCAGAUACCGUCGUAGUCUUAACCAUAAACGAUGCCGACCAGCGAUUAGGAGACGUUGAAUACAAAACACCGCCGUUAAUCCUUUCGGGGGUUAAUGGUUGGUGAAUGACUCCCUAGCAGCUUGUGAGAA
rnacentral:rRNA from 1 species